rnacentral:rRNA from 1 species
AUACGUAGGGGACGGGCGUUGUCCGGAAUUACUGGGCGUAAAGGGCGCGCAGGCGGUAUAUCAAGUCAGCUGUCAAAGACUGGGGCUCAACCCUGGUAUGCGGUUGAAACUGAUAUGCUGGAGUGCUGUAGAGGCAAGUGGAAUUCCCAGUGUAGCGGUGAAAUGCGUAGAUAUUGGGAAGAACACCGGUGGCGAAGGCGGCUUGCUGGGCAGCAACUGACGCUGAGGCGCGAAAGCGUGGGGAGCGAACAGGAUUAGAUACCCUGGUAGUCCACGCGGUAAACGAUGAAUGCUAGGUGUGGCGGGUAUCGACCCCUGCAGUGCCGGAGUAAACACAAUAAGCAUUCCGCCUGGGGAGUACGGCCGCAAGGUUGAAACUCAAAUGAAUUGACGGGG